UUAUAGUCGUUUCCUUGUGGCCGAUGAAAUGGAUCAUUUUUAUCAUGUCUUUCUUCUUUUUUUGAGGGAGAGAAUAUAUUGUGAACUUUUUAUGAUUGGGGAUUUGGGCUAAAAAAAAGAUGCUUGGGCGAAGUUUUGGCCCCCCCCGGGUUAGCGAAAUAUUAUACUUAGUAUUUUUUAGUUAAUAAAUUGAAACAAUCCGGGUAAAAAAAUGAUUAAAAACAACUUUUAACAACGGAUCUUUAGGCUCUCGCAUCGAUGAAGAACGUAGCAAAUUGCGAUAACUAUGGUGAAUAGCAUCUUGUGAAUCAUCAAGUUUUGAAACGCAUCUGCCUUCCUUGGUAUUCCCAAAGAGUACACUUGUUUCAUGUAUCAUAUUAACCCCAAAGCCGUACUUUUGCUUUAGUUAGCAGAUUUAGGGCUGGGCGGAAGGAUUAAUAUCCUUGGCCGAUACAAAGUUGUAAAUCACGGGAUGCGGCUUAAAUCUCUUUAUAGGCGAAUGACCCAAGUCAUUCAUGCCGAGUAAAAUAUAAUAUUAAGUGUUUAAUUAUUUUACGAAGCCAUAGUAAAGUCGCUAAGAGGCAGUUCUGGCCGACAAACACAUUAAUUUUUGAUCUGAAAUCAAUGUGGGAUUACCCCGCUGAACUUUAGGCAUUAUCA
rnacentral:rRNA from 1 species